UCAGAGGAACGUCAAGAACACACCUUAAGGGU
rnacentral:piRNA from 1 species